rnacentral:rRNA from 1 species
UACGGAGGGGGCUAGCGUUGUUCGGAAUUACUGGGCGUAAAGCGCACGUAGGCGGACUGUUAAGUCGGGGGUGAAAUCCUGGGGCUCAACCUCAGAAUUGCCUCCGAUACUGGCAGUCUCGAGUGCGGGAGAGGUGAGUGGAAUUCCCAGUGUAGAGGUGAAAUGCGUAGAUAUCUGGAGGAACACCGGUGGCGAAGGCGGCAUCCUGGACCGACACUGACGCUGAGGAGCGAAAGCCAGGGGAGCAAACGGG